UACGUAGGGUGCAAGCGUUAAUCGGAAUUACUGGGCGUAAAGCGUGCGCAGGCGGUUCGCUAAGACAGAUGUGAAAUCCCCGGGCUUAACCUGGGAACUGCAUUGGUGACUGCAUUGCUGGAGUAUGGCAGAGGGGGGUGGAAUUCCACGUGUAGCAGUGAAAUGCGUAGAGAUGUGGAGGAACACCGAUGGCGAAGGCAGCCCCCUGGGCCAAUACUGACGCUCAUGCACGAAAGCGUGGGGAGCAAACAGG
rnacentral:rRNA from 1 species